rnacentral:rRNA from 1 species
GAUGAACGCUGGCGGCGUGCCUAAUACAUGCAAGCCGAGCGAACAGACGAGGAGCUUGCUCCUCUGACGUUAGCGGCGGACGGGUGAGUAACACGUGGAUAACCUACCUAUAAGACUGGGAUAACUUCGGGAAACCGGAGCUAAUACCGGAUAAUAUAUUGAACCGCAUGGUUCAAUAGUGAAAGACGGUUUUGCUGUCACUUAUAGAUGGAUCCGCGCCGCAUUAGCUAGUUGGUAAGGUGACGGCUUACCAAGGCAACGAUGCGUAGCCGACCUGAGAGGGUGAUCGGCCACACUGGAACUGAGACACGGUCCAGACUCCUACGGGAGGCAGCAGUAGGGAAUCUUCCGCAAUGGGCGAAAGCUUGACGGAGCAACGCCGCGUGAGUGAUGAAGGUCUUCGGAUCGUAAAACUCUGUUAUUAGGGAAGAACAAAUGUGUAAGUAACUAUGCACGUCUUGACGGUACCUAAUCAGAAAGCCACGGCUAACUACGUG